rnacentral:rRNA from 1 species
CCUACGGGAGGCAGCAGUGAGGAAUAUUGGUCAAUGGGCGAGAGCCUGAACCAGCCAAGUCGCGUGAGGGAGUACUGCCCUAUGGGUUGUAAACCUCUUUUGUCGGGGAGCAAAAGCCGGACGUGUCCGGCUGUGAGAGUUCCCGAAGAAAAAGCAUCGGCGAACUCCGUGCCCGCAGCCGCGGUAAUACGGAGGAUGCGAGCGUUAUCCGGAUUUAUUGGGUUUAAAGGGUGCGCAGGCGGGUUUUUAAGUCAGCGGUCAAAUCGUGGGGCUCAACCCCAUCCAGCCGUUGAAACUGGGGAUCUUGAGUGUGCGAGAGGUAUGCGGAAUGCGUGGUGUAGCGGUGAAAUGCAUAGAUAUCACGCAGAACCCCGAUUGCGAAGGCAGCAUACCGGUGCACAACUGACGCUCAGGCACGAAAGCGUGGGUAUCGAACAGGAUUAGAUACCCCGGUAGUC